AUUGAACGCUGGCGGCAGGCCUAACACAUGCAAGUCGAGCGGAGCGGCGGACGGGUGAGUAAUGUCUGGGAAACUGCCUGAUGGAGGGGGCUAACUACUGGAACCGGUAGCUAAUACCGCAUACUAUCAGAUGAGCCUCGGUCGGAUUAGCUCGUUGGUGGGGUAAAGGCCUACCAAGGCGACGAUCCGUAACUGGUCUGAGAGGAUGAUCAGUCACACUGGAACUGAGGCACGGUCCAGCCUCCUACGGGAGGCAGCGGUGGGGAAUAUUGGACAAUGGGCGAAAGCCUGAUCCAGCCAUGCCGCGUGUGUGAAGAAGGGCUUCGGAUUGUAAAGCACUUUAAGUUGGGAGGUGUUACCAACAGAUUAAGCACCGGCUAACUUCGUGCCAGCAGCCGCGGUAAUUC
rnacentral:rRNA from 1 species